rnacentral:rRNA from 1 species
AUUGAACGCUAGCGGCAGGCCUAACACAUGCAAGUCGAACGAGUGGCGGACGGGUGAGUAAUAUCUGGGAAACUGCCCUGUGGUGGGGGAUAACUACUGGAAAGGGUAGCUAAUACCGCAUACCAUGGGCGGGGCACAGAUGGGAUUAGCUCGUUGGCGGGGUAAAGGCUCAGCUAGGCGACGACCCCUAGCUGGUCUGAGAGGAUGACCAGCCACACUGGAACUGAGACACGGUCCAGACCCCUACGGGAGGCAGCAGUGGGCAAGAUUGCAGAAUGGGCGCAAGCCUGAUGCAGCCAUGCCGCGUGUAUGAAGGAGACCUUCGGGUUGUAAAGUACUUUCAGCGGGGAGACGGUACCCGCAGAAGAAGCACCGGCUAACUCCGUGCCAGCAGCCGCGGUAAUGC